AUUGAACGCUGGCGGCAGGCCUAACACAUGCAAGUCGAGCGAGCGGAGGGCGGGUGAGGAAUGUAUGGGGACUGCCCGAUAGCGGGGGAUAACUACUGGAAACGGUAGCUAAUACCGCAUACUAUCCGAUAACCCUUAUGGGAUUAGCUAGUAGGUGAGGUAAUGGCUCACCUAGGCGACGAACCCUAGCUGGUCUGAGAGGAUGAUCAGCCACACUGGGACUGAGCAACGGCCCAGACGCCUACGGAGGCAGCAGUAGGGAAUAUUGCACAAUGGGCGCAAGCCUGAUGCAGCCAUGCCGCGUGUAUGAAGAAGGCCCUAGGGUUGUAAAACACUGUCAUUCGGGAGGCGUUACCUACAGAAGAAGCACCGGCUAACUCCGUGCCAGCAGCCGCGGUAAUUC
rnacentral:rRNA from 1 species